ACCGGGGAUUGAGGCACGGGAGCACCGGGGAUUGAGGCUGUGGGAGCACCGGGGAUUGAGGCACGGGAGCACCGGGGAUUGAGGCUGUGGGAGCACCGGGGAUUGAGGCCGGGGAGCACCGGGGAGCACCGGGGAUUCAGACCGGGAGCAUCGAGCCAUUGUCCCACCCUCAAGCUCAAGUGCAUAUUCCUAAAAGCCAACUCCUCCUGCAGUGCAUUACUUGCUAAUUUUGAGAUAAACACUAAAAAUCUUGAAGUCUUUAUAAGCUUUAAGUCUUUUAAAGAUCUUAAAAUUUUUGAAUCCUUAUCAAAUCUUAAAUCUAUAAAAUCUAAAAUGAGAAUCUGUGAUAAAGAUCUUAGAAUCUUCAUAAAAUAAGUCAGUGCUUCCCCACUUCCCUCAGCUCCGAGUCCUCCUGUUACUCAGUUCUACAUGAAUUAUUUCAUAUCCAGGUAUAGAAUUCUUAAGGCUGUACAGCUGGUUGAAAUUCCCUACAGGAUUAUUUCUUUUAUUUAAAUUUGAUUUUUUUUCUAAGCAAUUAAUCUGUACUAGCCCUGGCUGCACUGGGACUACCAUUAAGGUUUGCGUUUCUUCAAACCAGGGUCUCAUUUUUAUGUCAAAGACUUUACUACUGAGUAUUUUGUGUGUAAAGUGAAAAUUAACAUGAAUGGCUGGUUAAGCAUCGUGAUGCAAAAGGAGUUUUAAAAAGUUUUUAAGUGGUUUUUGUUUGUUUUUAAAUCAGAAAGAGAAAUCUUCAAUAAAAUAAAAAAUAUUGACUGAUACAAUGGCACAGUUCAGUUUCACAAAGCCUGGGCUCCAUGAGAAGAGGUUCAAGAAAAAUAAAGUUGUCAAAUAAAACCCUUUAGAAAUAAAAAACAACCAAACAAAAAAACCCCAAACAAAACCCAAACUGAAACAAACAAAAACAGAAUGAAAAACCAAAACAAAAAAUAAGCAAAACCCCAAACCCCCCAACUUUGGAAGAGUUGAACACUCAAAAAAAAGUCUUAUAACACCAAGUCUGCCUUCUCCCUUAUUCACUUUUUAGAACCUCUCAAUUAGCUGCUGAUUUGUCUUUGUAGGUUCUUUUACUUAAACACCACAAAUGGAAACACAAACCCAGAUCAUGAAUCAGAAUCAGGUGACAAAAAAAACUCCAUUUUUUUUCAAAGACAUGAAGUUAUUCUGGCACUUAGAUUACAAAUUUUAAGAGAUUGGUCCACUAAAAUGGGAGAAAACAUUCAAAACUGAUUGUUCAUUCAAAAAUCGUCCAAAGAUCACCCAGACCACUAAAAAGGAAAACAACUCAUUCCAUUGAAGGGAAUUAAUCCUGUUAAUUAAUCCUGUGUUAAUCUUGUGGCAGCAUGUUGCACAAACUAUUACUUUUGUUUUACUGUAAUUUUUACUAUUUAUUUAGGAAUAAACUGAGGUGGUUUGGAAACAAAAGCUUCAAGGAGGACUGGAAGGAAAGGGAGGCUGGAAAGAGCACGGCAACAUCCCCACAUCCUGCUGGGAAGGCAAAGCCACUGAGAAAUGCCCGAUGUGAUGGGGUUGCUGCUUUUCAGCAUCUCCCCAGAUCCUGCUCGGGCAAUGAACAUCCAGCAGAGGAGGAACCCAAAUCCCCACCACGGCCACGGAGCUGUUCCGAGUCCUGGACAUCCAGCAAGGAACCCCGGAGGCAACAGGAGCCCCAGGGAGAGGGGAACCGUGGCUGGAGAGCCAACAAAGGGAGCAGCGUUAACCAGCACAGGCAGGAUCUCCAGAGCCAUCUCCCAGCUUUGGCAGCUCCUGGGGGCUGGAGCAUCCCGAGUCCCAGACCCAGCCUGGCCAUGACAAACCACCAGCCCUGAGCAGGAAAGUUCCAUCUCUCCACCCAGACUCCAGCCCCACUCACGGGAUGUGAUGGAGGAGAGGGGCUCUGCUCAAGCUGAAGGGACUCAUGCACAAUUCCUGCCCUGGGCUGGGAGGAAUCCCGGGAGUUUCAGUUUAAAUCCAGCACCCCGGAGCAGGGCAGUGGCAGCAGUGGCAGGGGCACUGUUGGGUUUCCUGAGUGCCAAGGGAAGGAUGAAUUCCCUGGGAGGGAGGAUGGGGGCACUGCUUCAGCCAGAGCUGGGAUAGUUCAUUCCAUUCUAUCUGCUUUCUUCAAGACCAAGAAACAGAGCUCAGGAAAGAUGCAGAAGUUAAAACAGAAACCAGUGACUGGAGGGGUUUCUGAGGACAAAAUGUGAUUGAAAGGAAGGCUGGCAAAGCACUGACGGGGAAAAGAGCCAUGGUGACAGUGACAGGUAUAAAGGAUCAAAUCCCAAGGACAAAGAGCUCGUGGAGUUGGUGCUGUGGGAUACAGGAAUAUUUAGGAGGACAAAAUUAAAAGGGAAAAAACCUGUACUUGAAGCUGAACAGCACACAAGUGUCCAGUGUCUCUGGGUAACACUGCAGGGCUCCUCCCCUGCCCCUUCCCUGCUUCCCUGAACUCCUGUCCUGUACCAGCUUUCCUGCCACACUCCCUCUGUGCUGCACCAGCCAGGACACAGUGAGCUCCCUCCUCACACAAAGGAACUCCUCAGCCACCUCAGCCUCCACCUCUGCGCCCAGGAAAACCCCCAGGGGAACUGAAGGCCGUGUCAGG